UAUUUGCGGAUUUUGCCAUUUGCGGGAAUCUCUGGAACGUAUCCCCUGCGAAUGGCGAGGGUCUCCUGUAUUAAUAAGUGGUAAG